AGUGGCUCAGUGGUAGAGUGCUUGUCUUGCAUGCAUGAGGUCCUGAGUUCGAUUCCUCAGUACUA
rnacentral:tRNA from 1 species